GUGGAUGUAGCUCAGUUGGUAGAGCGCCGGUUUGUGGUACCGGUGGUCGCGGGUUCAAGUCCCGUCAUUCACC
rnacentral:tRNA from 1 species